rnacentral:rRNA from 1 species
AGUGAACGCUGGCGGUAGGCCUAACACAUGCAAGUCGAACGGCAGCACAGUAAGAGCUUGCUCUUACGGGUGGCGAGUGGCGGACGGGUGAGGAAUACAUCGGAAUCUACUUUUUCGUGGGGGAUAACGUAGGGAAACUUACGCUAAUACCGCAUACGACCUACGGGUGAAAGCAGGGGAUCUUCGGACCUUGCGCGAUUGAAUGAGCCGAUGUCGGAUUAGCUAGUUGGCGGGGUAAAGGCCCACCAAGGCGACGAUCCGUAGCUGGUCUGAGAGGAUGAUCAGCCACACUGGAACUGAGACACGGUCCAGACUCCUACGGGAGGAAGCAGUGGGGAAUAUUGGAAAAUGGGCGCAAGCCUGAUCCAGCCAUACCGCGUGGGUGAAGAAGGCCUUCGGGUUGUAAAGCCCUUUUGUUGGGAAAGAAAAGCAGCAGGUUAAUACCCCGCUGUUCUGACGGUACCCAAAGAAUAAGCACCGGCUAACUUCGUG